UACGUAGGGUGCGAGCGUUGUCCGGAAUUAUUGGGCGUAAAGGGCUCGUAGGCGGUUUGUCGCGUCGGGAGUGAAAACCCAGGGCUUAACUCUGGGCUUGCUUUCGAUACGGGCAGACUAGAGGUAUGCAGGGGAGAACGGAAUUCCUGGUGUAGCGGUGAAAUGCGCAGAUAUCAGGAGGAACACCGAUGGCGAAGGCAGGUCUCUGGGCCACUACUGACGCUGAGAAGCGAAAGCAUGGGGAGCGAACAGG
rnacentral:rRNA from 1 species